CCUACGGGAGGCAGCAGUGGGGAAUGUUGGACAAUGGGCGCAAGCCUGAUCCAGCCAUGCCGCGUGUGUGAAGAAGGCCCUCGGGUUGUAAAGCACUUUCAGUGGGGAAGAACGCCUGGUGGUUAAUACCCGUCAGGAAAGACAUCACCCACAGAAGAAGCACCGGCUAACUCCGUGCCAGCAGCCGCGGUAAU
rnacentral:rRNA from 1 species